UGAGGAAUAUUGGUCAAUGGACGCAAGUCUGAACCAGCCAUGCCGCGUGAAGGAUGAAGGCCUUCUGGGUUGUAAACUUCUUUUAUCUGGGAAGAAACCCCUGAUUUCUAUUAGGGCCGACGGUACCAGAGGAAUAAGCACCGGCUAACUCCGUGCCAGCAGCCGCGGUAAUACGGAGGGUGCAAGCGUUAUCCGGAUUCACUGGGUUUAAAGGGUGUGUAGGCGGGUAUUUAAGUCAGUGGUGAAAUCUCCAGGCUCAACCUGGAAACUGCCAUUGAUACUAUUUAUCUUGAAUUCUGUUGAGGUGGGCGGAAUAUGUCAUGUAGCGGUGAAAUGCAUAGAUAUGACAUAGAACACCGAUUGCGAAGGCAGCUCACUAAGCAGACAUUGACGCUGAGGCACGAAAGCGUGGGGAUCAAACAGGAUUAGAUACCCCGGUAGUCC
rnacentral:rRNA from 1 species